rnacentral:rRNA from 1 species
CACGCUGUAAACGAUGAAUACUAGGUGUGGGAGGACUGACCCCUUCCGUGCCGCAGUUAACACAAUAAGUAUUCCACCUGGGGAGUACGAUCGCAAGAUUGAAACUCAAAGGAAUUGACGGGGGCCCGCACAAGCAGUGGAUUAUGUGGUUUAAUUCGACGCAACGCGAAGAACCUUACCGGGAUUUGACAUCCUACUAACGAAGUAGAGAUACAUUAGGUGCCCUUCGGGGAAAGUAGAGACAGGUGG